GAUGAACGCUAGCGGCAGGCCUAACACAUGCAAGUCGAACGGUAGAGGGGGCAACCCCUUGAGAGUGGCGAACGGGUGAGUAAUAUAUCGGAACGUGCCCAGUCGUGGGGGAUAACGUAGCGAAAGUUACGCUAAUACCGCAUACGAUCUCAGGAUGAAAGCGGGGGACUCGCAAGAGCCUCGCGCGAUUGGAGCGGCCGAUAUCAGAUUAGGUAGUUGGUGGGGUAACGGCUUACCAAGACAAUGAUGGGUAGGGGUCCUGAGAGGGAGAUCCCCCACACUGGUACUGAGACACGGACCAGACUCCUACGGGAGGCAGCAGUGAGGAAUAUUGGUCAAUGGGCGCAAGCCUGAACCAGCCAUGCCGCGUGCAGGAAGACGGUCCUAUGGAUUGUAAACUGCUUUUAUACAGGAAGAAACCCUCCCACGUGUGGGAGCUUGACGGUACUGUAGGAAUAAGGAUCGGCUAACUCCGUG
rnacentral:rRNA from 1 species